UGUCCUGAACGUCCUGGUGCUGCCACCUAGAGGUUCCUCUUAACCUUGCUCUUAUUCACAGGAGCACUUCCCCAAUGAGUUUACCUCAGGAGAUGGAAAGAAAGCACACUGUGACUUCGGCUACUUUUAUGGCUCAAGCUAUGUGUCAGCUCCUGAUGGCAGCCGAACUCCUGGACUCUCACGUAAUCGGGAUGGGUUGCUGGUUGCUGAGCUCAACCUCAACCUCUGUCAGCAAAUGAAUGACAUCUGGAACUUCAAGGCUCAGAUUCUUGUAAGACAAGCAAGACAGUGCCCACGAGGUCUCCUGGCCUGUCCCUCCUCUUGGGCAGCCGAUAUCAACGCAGGAUUCGAUUUAAGUCAGAACCUGGACCCAUGAAUGUACCCAGCUCUUUUAACAAGUAUCUCCAGGGAUAAGUAGAAUGUUCUCUUUAGAUUUUCCCAAAGCAAAGCAAAAGGCUUCCCAGCAGAGAUGGGCGUGAGCUCUCGUCCAGUGUUGAAAGGAGCUGGCAAGGGAAGGGGAGGAUGGGAGGGAGGGAGGCCCGGGAAGGAGCAACAUGGGUGGGCUUUCCAGCUCCCAGCCCUGGUCUCCAUCUGUUUCUAAUCAGAUGCCACAUGGAACAGGAGGAACAGGAAGGCCUCAGGCUCAGCCAAGAGACCUGAAUCCAAAUUGCUUCUGUUGGGGCCACUCUAUUCUGAGUCUCAGGGGUUCUUGGAAAGCACAGGACACCCCUCCUCCAUCCGGCCUCACAGCAGACCACACCUCCUAGAUGGAGAGGUCACUGUACACCGGGCUGGGCUGGGCUUGUGAAGUGUCUUUUGUCCAUGAAUUUCACUGACUUCAGUUCUGAGGUCACAAUGCAGUUGCUUCUCUCUAUCCCAGUCUGAAAUUGUGCUGUCAACCAGCACAAUGGAUACAUUUCUGUCCUAUGGCCGCCCCCUAGUGGCAAGAGCUGGU